GACGAACGCUGGCGGCGUGCCUAAUACAUGCAAGUAGAACGCUGAAGGAGGAGCUUGCUUCUCUGGAUGAGUUGCGAACGGGUGAGUAACGCGUAGGUAACCUGCCUGGUAGCGGGGGAUAACUAUUGGAAACGAUAGCUAAUACCGCAUAAGAGUAGAUGUUGCAUGACAUUUGCUUAAAAGGUGCAAUUGCAUCACUACCAGAUGGACCUGCGUUGUAUUAGCUAGUUGGUGGGGUAACGGCUCACCAAGGCGACGAUACAUAGCCGACCUGAGAGGGUGGUCGGCCACCCUGGGACUGAGACCCGGCCCAGACUCCUCCGGGAGGCAGCAGUAGGGAAUCUUCGGCAAUGGACGGAAGUCUGACCGAGCAACGCCGCGUGAGUGAAGAAGGUUUUCGGAUCGUAAAGCUCUGUUGUAAGAGAAGAACGAGUGUGAGAGUGGAAAGUUCACACUGUGACGGUAUCUUACCAGAAAGGGACGGCUAACUACGUG
rnacentral:rRNA from 1 species